GUUUCAAAUCGCACUGCGACCCGCUAACUGAGUCUAAGCUCUGAGACUGAGAGAGACUCUACAGAACUAUUUCUAUGAAGCUUUUCACUUCGCACUAGUUUCUUCCAGUUAUUGCCUUGAAAACUUCAGGAGAUACUCUCUAAAACCCUAGAAUUCUGAAUCCAGGGGUUUGCAUACUGAUACCUACGUUUUUGUAUGUACACCAUUUAUCUUUAGGUUGAAAGCUAGGGUUUUUGGGGUUUUGAAUUUAAGCAUCAGAAAUGGAGGCGGCAGUGAUAGACGCUGGAUCCAAGCUCCUUAAAGCGGGAACUGCAGUUCCAGAUCAGGCUCCACCCAUUAUUAUUCCUACCCAAAUGAAACGCAUGCUUGAAGAUGGUUCAUCAACUGAUGGUUCAUUAUUUGAGGAUGUCAAUGUUGAUCCAGUUUUU
rnacentral:misc_RNA from 1 species